rnacentral:snoRNA from 1 species
UGUAUGUGUGUGUUUGUUCAGCUGGUGGAUAAAGGGAUGAAAGACACAUGCAAAAAUAAAUCCCCUUUUGCAACCUAGAACUCAUUGCUCAGUAUGAGUUUUGAUACAUACAAGAAGAACUAUG